GCGGCGGUGGCGAAAUUGGUAGACGCAACAGGUUUAGGUCCUGUCGCCCUUGGGUGUGGAGGUUCGAGUCCUCUCCGCCGCACCA
rnacentral:tRNA from 1 species